AGCGAACGCUGGCGGCAGGCCUAAAACAUGCAAGUCGAACGGACCCUUCGGGGUUAGUGGCGGACGGGUGAGUAACACGUGGGAACGUGCCCUUUGGUUCAGAACAACUCAGGGAAACUUGAGCUAAUACUGAAUAAGCCCUACGGGGAAAGAUUUAUCGCCAUUGGAGCGGCCCGCGUUGGAUUAGCUAGUUGGUGAGGUAAAGGCUCACCAAGGCUACGAUCCAUAGCUGGUCUGAGAGGAUGAUCAGCCACACUGGGGACUGAGACACGGCCCAGACUCCUACGGGAGGCAGCAGUUAGGAAUCUUGCGCAAUGGGGCGAAAGCCUGACGCAGCCAUGCCGCGUG
rnacentral:rRNA from 1 species